AUUUUUUCUACACUAAUACUUUUAUUCUUCAGCAAUAACACAAAUCAUUGCAAUAGGAAAAAGGGACAUCCUGAAUAAUCAUGGACCGCAAUAUAACCAGUUCAUGUUUUUUAAGGCAUUGUUGACAAAAUAAUGAUGACAAUUUCUUGGCUGUGAUCUGUGCACUGCGAGCAGCAAGUUGCAACUGCUGAUCUGGCGAUCCAUCACACCUGGGCAGAUCUGGCACCUCUGUCCUGUUUGGACUGGCCCUCUGGCUCAUCCCUCAUCAUGCAGCCCGGGGGGGGGGGGGCUGUGUGCUGAAGAUUGUUUAGGAAACAUCCAAGAGAUUGUGCCACAGUACCAAGAACCACCUCCUUGUUUGCCUUUUGCACAUGUAAGAUAACUUGAAUCAUGGAUUAUGAGAAUCGCUACACCCCUAAUUAUGAGGUGAUUUUUUUAUUUUUUAGAUAAAAUGAAACUUACAUACAUCAGGUGUGUCAGGCAGUCCUCCACAGUUAUGAGAUUUCAGGAACGUAUGGUGAUGCCGCAGUAAAUAUGUUCCGGACUAUACAAACCUGACAGGAGUCAAAGGUGGUACAGUAUAACCCAUGUUAUGUAAUCUAGUGGGAGUAUUAGAAAAACUCCACUUAAAAAAAGUAAGAAAGCAGUAACUAAAUCAAUGAUGUGUGAAUAUCAGACACAAUAAAUUUGAUUAAUAUCUGGAA